rnacentral:rRNA from 1 species
CCUACGGGAGACAGCAGUGAGGAAUAUUGGUCAAUGGUCGGGAGACUGAACCAGCCAAGCCGCGUGAGGGAUGAAGGUACAGAGUAUCGUAAACCUCUUUUGUCAGGGAACAAAGGCGGGGACGUGUCCCCGGAUGAGUGUACCUGAAGAAAAAGCAUAGGCUAACUCCGGGCCAGCAGCCGCGGUAAUACGGAGGAUGCGAGCGUUAUCCGGAUUUAUUGGGUUUAACGGGUGCGCAGGCGGACUGUUAAGUCAGCGGUAAAAGCCCGGGGCUCAACCCCGGCCCGCCGUUGAAACUGGCAGUCUCGAGUUGGAGAGAAGUAUGCGGAAUGCGCGGUGUAGCGGUGAAAUGCAUAGAUAUCGCGCAGAACUCCGAUUGCGAAGGCAGCAUGCCGGCUCCACACUGACGCUGAGGCACGAAAGCGUGGGUAUCGAACAGGAUUAGAUACCCCAGUAGUC